UCAUCAGAUCCUGGUUUCCUUAUCACGGUACCAAACUAGGGAUAUCCCCUUUCCAACAAAAAAAUUUUAUCAAAAUCGGUACAUCCAGUAGAAAGUUAUGCGGUAUAGUACAACGUAGGUCGACGAAAAACGCGUCAAGUAAAAACGCAUUAUUAGAUAUAGCUCGAAAAGUAGUUGUUAGAUCUGAAAUAAAUUUAAAUGGGACCAAU
rnacentral:misc_RNA from 1 species